rnacentral:rRNA from 1 species
AACAAACUAUACAGGGAAUGGCCUGGCUUUGGUUUUGGACCGUGGCAAGCUGCGAUAUGCUCAGGGUAGACGCACGCAGUCUGUGAACCUGAGAUUGUCCGUCGUCCAGAGAUGGAUUGUGUACUCCGUGAAUUGAAGCAUCUUAGUAGCGGAAGGAAAAGAAAUCAAUUGAGAUUGGGUUAGUAAUGGCGAAUGAAAGCCCAAUAGAGUCAAACCGAACUCCAUUUUAGUAAUAAAAUGGCGAAUGUGGUGUAUUAAUUUUAUCCAGUUUAUGAGCGGAAGUGAGAUGGAAUGCUCUACGAUACAGGGUGAUAGUCCCGUACGUUAAGUUUACUGGAGAAAGAUACAAAGAGUAGGGCUCUCCGAGAGAGUCUGAAUAUGGGGGCACCAACCUCCAAACCUAAAUAGAUACCAAAGACCGAUAGCGGAUUAGUACCGUGAGGGAACGCUGAAAAGCACUCCAAAAAGGAGGGUUAAAAGUACCUGAAACUGUAUAGUGACAACCAGGUAAUGCAUGAAAGGGUAGAUUCUUUUGGAAGUUACCACUCGAGAGGGUGGAUACGACAGAAGAGGACCAAUGUGUUAUCAUUCUUCUCGAAGCAAGAGCCAGGGAGUUUAUGGUAGUGGUGAGAUGAGAUUCUGAGCGAAAGCGAGUCCGUGCAGUGUUAAACAAGGCGGAGCGUCCUAAAAGGCGUGAAUCACUAUUGUAAGACCCGAAGCCCAUGCGAUCUAGGCGUGAACGUGGAGAAGCCCUUGUUAAAAAGGGUGGAUGCCAUCAACCGGUGUUAGUCUAUUCUACUCGGGUGAUUUGCGUCUAGGGAUGAAAGUUCAAUCGAGCUGGGCAAUAGCGGGUUCCUUCCGAACUAUAUCUUAGUAUAGCGUCCUUGGAGAUGGAUUUAGGGGUAGAGCACUGAUCGGAAAGCACGGGAUCGAAAGGUUCUACUUUGCUUUCAAACUCCGAACACUAGAUCAUUGAAGAAAAGGGCAGUCGGCCCUCUGGGGUAACCCUGGAGGACUGGACGGGAACCGCCGAGACUUGGGUUAAGGUCCCAAAGAGCUGGUUAAGUGCAAAUUGUAAAGGAGACUCUUUUCGAAAACAUUUGGCAGGUAGGCUUAGAAGCAGCCAUCCUCUAAGCAACGCGUAAUAGCGGGCCAACCGAGAGAGCAAUUUCCGAAGAUAUUAGGGGCUAAACCAGCCACCGAUACCCAGGAGUGCGCAUUAACUGCGUAAUCUGGUAGGAAGGCGUCCGUAUCGUGUAGAAGUAGGGCUGUGAAGUCCUGUGGAACGGUAUGGAAUGAAUAUCCUGGUGUUAGUAACAGCAAAUAUAGGUGAGAAACCUAUACGUCGAAAGGGCGCGGUUUUCUCCGCAACGAUCAUCAGCGGAGAGUUAGUCGGUCCUAAAUCACAGGUUAAUUACCUCGUGAUGAAAGGGAAACAGGUUAAUAUUCCUGUACUUUAUUGGUAGGCGCGGCAACGCAAGAUUCCAUUCUUGACGCUUGUGGCUAAGCUGAGCAGGGGAGACCCUGUCUAAAUAAUAUACAACUAUCGAGACUUAUUAUGAGGAGAAGUAGUUGAAAGUUAUGAAUGGUCCCCGUCUGGGGAUUCGGUCGAGGCCUUGAGUCCACGAAAAGAGAAAGGAUAACGACCCAAUAAAACCGUACCUAGAACUAUUACAGGUGCCCCUGGCUGAAUAGGCCAAGACGUAACGGGAUAACCCGGGCAAGGGAACUCGGCAAACUAGCCCUGUACCUUUGGUAGAAGGGGUGCCUGUGCAUGUUUCUGAAAUAUGUUGCAUGCGCAGGUCGCAGUGACAAGGAGAGAGCGACUGUUUAUCAAAAACACAGGUCUCUGCAAGAUCGUAAGGUUGUGUACAGAGGCCGAUGCCUGCUCACUGCCAGUACGUGAAAAUCCGGUUCAACGGAUCUAAGCGCUGGUAAAGAGCGGGGGUAACUCUGACCCUCUUGAGGUAGCGUAAUACCUCGCCGCUUAAUUGGCGGCUUGCAUGAAUGGCAUAACGACUCUCUUGCUGUCCCUGCCCGGGACCCGGUGAACUCACUAUCCGGUGAGUAUGCCGGAAACUUCCAGUGGGAAACGAAGACCCCGUGGAGCUUCACUACAGCCUGUUGUUGAUGUAUUAUUCACGUUGCAGAGCGUAGAUGGGAGCCUUCGAAGCAUUCUCUCUGGGGAAUGUGGAGGCAAAAUUUGUAACACCAUCCAACGUGAACGAUGCGUCUUACUCUAGUACUAGAGAACAGCUGCAGGUGGGUAGUUUGGCUGGGGUGGUACGCCCUCGAAAAGGAAACAAGGGUGCCUAAUGCUUGACUUAGGCGGGUCAGAAAUCCGCCGUUAAGGGAGAAAGACAUAAGUCAGGUUGACUGUGAAUCUAAAAGCGUGAUUCGCAGGGACGAAAGUCGAGCUUAACGAACCUAGGAAUCUUUUUGGUUAGGGUCCUAGCUGUCAAACAAGUUACCCCGGGGGUAACCGAUUGGUCGCGGGCGAGAGUACACAUCGACCCCGCGGUUUGAUACAUCGCUGUCGGCUCAGCUCAUCCUGGUGGCGCAUAAGCCACCAAGGGUCGGGUUGUUCAUCCGUUAAAGAGCUACGUGAGCUGGGUUCAGUACGUCGCGAGACAGUACGGUAGUAUCUACUGGGAGUGUGACCAUCUGAGAGGAAGAAUCGCUUAGUACGAGAGGAACGGUGAUUCGUGGCCACUGGUGUACCAGUUGUGUAAAGCAUCGCUGGGUAGCUACGCCGCAUUUGGAUAAGACCUGAAAGCAUCUAAGGUCGAAGCCAUACUCGAAACGAGAUGGUAUAAACGCUCAUAAUAGAUGAGUUUGAUAGAGCAGAGGUGUAAGCAUAGAGCUGAGGCGAUUUGUGAGCCUACUGCUACUAAAGUUUUCCGCAGCAGUU